ACAGACAUAAGUGAGUUUUAACCAGUUAGCAUAGCAGAGCCAAUUCAGCAAUGGAAGAGCUCACCAACAGAAUAACUGACAGGCAGCCAUGAAUUACAGGGAUAUAAAUAAAUCGAAGGAUUGAAAUGACCGGGGCUGAUACGUCCUGCAGCUGAAGUUAUCUCAAACCAUAGGACUGGAGUUCAAAUGGACUAUGAUGUUAUCAAAAGCCAAGCCGUCAUGCUGUUCCUCAACCACCGGUUUUCCUUUCUGUCCUUCACUGAGCUAUACAAGCUAUGGUGAAAAUCCAAAGGAGCCAGUCAAUCUCAGGGCUUUCCUGAUCGUUCUGGUUCCUGCUUCAGAUCAAGGAAGAAAACUUGCACAGAGGAAGAGAUCUGCUGCUCUGAAAGACUUGCCCCCACAGAGGUUCUGUCUGAACACAGUUUACAGGGGAAAUCAUCCACACAAAAUUCACAGGAUCAAUUAAAGAUUUGUCAAGACAAGGUCAAUUUAUCACACGUGUGAUAUGGUGACAGUGCUUCUCUGAGUGUUUCCAGCAUCCAAAUAGACCAAGGGUGUCAAACUCAUUCAGAGGAGACAGGUGAAUUCUAUGUUUCAGUAUGGUCUGUGGGCCAGUGUGGGGACUAUAUGCUUCCCACGAUGCAUAGCAGAACACCCGUGUCAGUAGGACUUGCAAAGAGAUCAAGAGCCGAAUAUGGCCUUGAGGUAGCAACUGAAUUCUUAGUUACUACAUCGCUUAUUAUUUGUUUGGUGCCUUCUUGUCACAUUGAUAUCUCAGGAAAUGUGUACUAAGAUUUGGACUAGAAAACACAGUGGUGGCAUGUUUAAAGGGGCAACUGUGUUGACACAAAAUACUCAGGAGAAAAUCUGCUCCCCUUUGGGCCUCUACUGUCUCUGUCCCUUGCUUCUCUUCUUUUCCUAAUCUCUCUCCUGUUUCUCUUUCUCUUUGUUUUUGUGAUUAUCUUCUGUUCUUUUUCUCCAUUUCUUUUCCUGCAGACAUCUCAGUUCCCACCCUAGUGGGCUUCACUGCCAUUCUGACCUCCAUUUCCUCCACUGAAAUAACCAGUGAAAGUGAAUGGUCCUGUAUGGGCUUUUAAAAAGUUGAUGCUCCAAUCAGAUUAAUGGUACUAGCCCCUUUGCAUCAUUUUUUGUUUCAGGCUGUCUGCACACUGCAGUGGUUACACUUUGUUCACAUGUGGAAGGUUUUCUCUACUGACAUGGGGGCUAGAAACUUAUUGGGAGGGGUUGUUGGCUUGUUUUUUUAAUGAAAGCUUAGAUUCUGAAUAUGUCAUGUGUGCCCCAAAAAUACAUCAUAUGAGUUUACAGGUCAUAUCUGACACCUGGUUUACAGGUCAUAUCUGACACCUUUGAAAUAGACAUCUGUGCACCACAUGUGCUUAGAAACUUACAUUUCUGAAGAACAGAGCAGGAUUUGGCUAAAAGAGGUCUUUUGGGCUUCACUCUUCAUACCCUUUUUCCAAAUCAUAUCAUCCCAAAUUUGGCCCAAAUGAAGGCCAGGUUAAGCACAGAGGAUAUUCCUUCUCUCUCAAUUAACUGAUGUACAAUAGCUAUCACAGAGAUGGAGCCCUAAGUAAACAGACUAGAACAUAUAGCUACACAUAGCAGUUGAUGGAAAGGUCACAAAACAAACAUCAGUGAUCAAGAAUAUCAAGCAGACAUUUGCUGGAGGAUGUGUCUUCCUAGACCCUUUGAAAUUGGAUUGGCAAACUGUGACAAACACAAUUUGGCUCCUAUAUGUCUCAUGUGAAAAACAUACCCACAUUCCUUACAUCUGUGCGCUGAAAUGUCAAAAGAG